GACGAACGCUGGCGGCGUGCUUAACACAUGCAAGUCGAACGGGUCUGCCCUGUUUUUUGCGGGGUGGGUCAGUGGCGAACGGGUGAGUAACACGUGAGUAACCUGCCCCUCACUUCUGGAUAACCGCUUGAAAGGGUGGCUAAUACGGGGUGUUCUGGCUGUGCCGCAUGGUGUGGCUGGGAAAGAUUCACUUUUGUGGUGUUUUGGUGGGGGAUGGGCUCGCGGCCUAUCAGCUUGUUGGUGGGGUGAUGGCCUGCCAAGGCUUUGACGGGUAGCCGGCCUGAGAGGGUGGGCGGUCACACUGGGACUGAGAUACGGCCCAGACUCCUGCGGGAGGCAGCAGUGGGGGGUAUUGCACAAUGGGCGGAAGCCUGAUGCAGCGACGUCGCGUGAGGGAUGGAGGCCUUCGGGUUGCGAACCUCUUUCGCCGGUGAAGAAGGUCCUGCUCUUUGUGGUGGGGUUGACGGUAGCCGGGUUAUGAAGCGCCGGCUAACUACGUG
rnacentral:rRNA from 1 species